GGGUAUAGCUCCGGGGUAGAGCAGGUGCUUCUCAUGCACAAGGUCCUGGGUUCAGUCCCCAGUACCUCCA
rnacentral:tRNA from 1 species